rnacentral:rRNA from 1 species
UAACUAAGAUUCCUUUAGUAGCGGCGAGCGAAACAGGAUAAGCCCAGCACUAAGCCCUCCAGUCGUUCUGGCUGGCAGGGGAUGCAGUGUAUGGAAAGUCUAUUAUCUCAUGCGACGAUAAUACGUUCAAGUCCAUCUUGAAUGGGGCCAUUAUACCCAUAGAGGGUGCCAGGCCCGUAGCAGCUAUUAUCAGUAUGAGAAGAUUUUUCCAAAGAGUCGUGUUGCUUGAUAGUGCAGCACUAAGUUGGUGGUAAACUCCAUCUAAGGCUAAAUAUAACCACGAGACCGAUAGCGAACAAGUACCGUGAGGGAAAGUUGAAAAGCACUCUGAAUAGAGAGUUAAAUAGUACGUGAAACCGCUUAGGGGUUAAGCCCGAUGAACCUGAAUAUCUGAAUUGAGAAAUUCAAUACUAUUUCAGUAAUUUAUCUAAACAAUAAAUGAACGAUGGUAUGCACUUUUCUCAUAGUAAGACAUUGCGAUCCAUUAGUAUAUCUUUUAUGGAUGGUUUAUCAAACGGCCCGUUUGGUCAGUUUAUUCUAUCUGUGGCACUAGCUGUCAUAUGAAUAAUGCCGAUGCGGUGACCUGGUAAACAGCUGAUGGAGCUUAAAAAUCAUGCAGCCAUGCAUUAUGUAUCACGGUUUGAGUAUUUUUAAUAUUCGAAUGCAGUGAUCGCAUGUAUUUGAUUAGCAAUGCGAUAGAUUUGGGAUACCUUCGGGACCCGUCUUGUAACACGGACCAAGAAGUCUAACAUGUGUGUAAGUCAUUGGGUAUUUUGUUGAAACCUAAAGGCGCAAUUAAAAUAACUAUUAUUAUGGGAUUACAAGUGAAUUAAUAUUUCACUUCUCCAUCCCGGGGCGUUCUAUACGAACAUGGUUUAAGCAAUUAGAUCCUCUGUUCAAGAGCGUACCUUGAACAUACAUGCUGU